rnacentral:rRNA from 1 species
UACGGGGGGGGCAAGCGUUGUUCGGAAUUACUGGGCGUAAAGGGCGCGUAGGCGGCCAUCUAAGUCAGACGUGAAAUCCCUCGGCUCAACCGAGGAACUGCGUCUGAUACUGGAAGGCUUGAAUCCGGGAGAGGGAUGUGGAAUUCCAGGUGUAGCGGUGAAAUGCGUAGAUAUCUGGAGGAACUCCGGUGGCGAAGGCGGCAUCCUGGACCGGUAUUGACGCUGAGGCGCGAAAGCUAGGGGAGCGAACGGG